AUUGAACGCUGGCGGCAGGCCUAACACAUGCAAGUCGAACGAGAGGCGGACGGGUUAGAACUGUCUGGGCAACUGCCUGGUGGAGGGGGAUAACUACUGGAAACGGUAGCCAAUACCGCCUACCAUCGGAUGUGCCCAGAUGGGAUUGGCUAGUGGGUGGGGUAAAGGCUCACCAAGACGACGAUCCCUAGCGGGUCUGAGAGGAUGACCAGCCACACGGGAACUGAGACACGGCCCAGACUCCUACGGGAGGCAGCAGUGGGGAAUAUUGCACAAUGGGCGCAAGCCUGAUGCAGCCAUGCCGCGUGUAUGAAGAAGGCCUUCGGGUUGUAAAGUACUUUCGGCGGGGAGGCGUUACCCGCAGAAGAAGCACCGGCUAACUCCGUGCCAGCAGCCGCGGUAAUAC
rnacentral:rRNA from 1 species